UACGUAGGCAGCAAGCGUUGUUCGGAUUCACUGGGCGUAAAGGGUGCGCAGGUGGCAUGGCAAGUUUGAUGUGAAAGCUCAGGGCUCAACCCUGAAAUGGCAUUGAAUACUGCUGUGCUGGAGGUUUGGAGGGGGGACUGGAAUUCUUGGUGUAGCAGUGAAAUGCGUAGAUAUCAAGAGGAACACCAGUGGCGAAGGCGAGUCCCUGGACAACACCUGACACUGAGGCACGAAAGCUAGGGGAGCAAACAGG
rnacentral:rRNA from 1 species